CUGGUCAGAGUGCCCACUUAAAAAGCCUUCAAUGGGGAUGUGCGCAUCGGAACUGGACCAUGGAAGAAGUUCUUUUUUAGAGCAGGAGGAUGGCCAGUUGUGUGUAUUAUGUUUACCUGGGGAAUAGAAGGUCUAUCCACUAUGGGAAGAAGGCAGGUUGACAGAGGCAGCAUUAUGCUCUGAGUUAUGUUCUGCUGGGAAACAUUGGGUCCCGUCAUUCAUAUAGAUGUUGCUUUG